GGCCUCCUACGGGGGGCAGCAGUAGGGAAUCUUCCACAAUGGGCGAAAGCCUGAUGGAGCAACGCCGCGUGGGUGAAGAAGGUCUUCGGAUCGUAAAACCCUGUUGUUAGAGAAGAAAGUGCGUGAGAGUAACUGUUUACGUUUCGACGGUAUCUAACCAGAAAGCCACGGCUAACUACGUGCCAGCAGCUGCGGUAAUACGUAGGUGGCAAGCGUUAUCCGGAUUUAUUGGGCGUAAAGGGAACGCAGGCGGUGUUUUAAGUCUGAUGUGAAAGCCUGCGGCUUAACCGGAGUAGUGCAUUGGG
rnacentral:rRNA from 1 species